UCUCCUCUAUUCUCUUCUAUUCACUGCAAAAAAAAAAUUCUUUCUCCAUCGCGAUGGUUCAUUCAUCCCGUCUCUUUUCUUACCGGUCCUUUCUUCUUCUCGAUUAAAUAACCAAAUCCAGUUCUAUAUUGGUAAACCCUAACUCUUUUUCUGUCUCUUUAUUUCUCUGAAUCCAUAAGCCAUAACCCUUCCGUUUUAUAUUGCAGUUACGAUUUUUUUUCCUCCUGAUUUUUCUUUAUUUUGCUCUGAAUCAAACAAAUUUUCCAAUCCUCAUCAAUCGCUUUUCACUUCAAUCAAAAUCACCGAUUUUUCAGAGAUAAUGUUUAGGUCUGCGAUUUUGGGACUUCUGUUUACAGGAAGCAGAAAUAUGUAUCUCCUAUUACAAUUGGGUUUACUCAGAUUUUGGCGUCUAAGAAAGCCCAACCAACUAUUCAUAAGGUUGGUAAAUUUGAUUUGAAACUAGAAAAUCAGAACGCUGAACUAAUAACGUGGCCACAAAAAAGGUCUAAAUUGUCAAUGAGAAGAUGAAUGUAGAGAACUAUUAGAAAAUUAGGACUACGAAGUUCAAGCCUUCAAGGAAGAAAGGCAAAGGGCUUUCUGCAAGUGCAGUGCAAAGCAAAUGGCACACCAAAAAAGGACCAAUAAGUGAUAUGAAAAAAGGUUUUUGCAAGUCAAGUCCAUGACAUGGGUUCUUUUCUGUGUCAUGUCCUACUGUUGGAAGCUGUAGUCAUACAUCUGGAGGUGGAUUUGGUCUUUUUUGAAGAAAAUACGGUGUUGCUGCUGGUUAUGUUAUUCCCGCAAUUCUCACAUUCAUUUUCCUUCUCCGGUUGUUCUGUUGUUUUAUAGGGUUACGAUAUGCCGAGAGUAAUUUUUUUUUUUUUUUUGGUAAAUAUUAUUCUCAUGUAGUCAUGUUGUGAUUGGAUUUCUUUCUCUUUGUUGUUGAUAUUGCAGGUGAUAGUUCAUGCAUGUGCAUAUAUGCGAGAGAAUCAAAGCGACAAUAUAAAGAAAUCACUAAUGGCUACUAAACCAUAGUCAUUGUACUCCUCACUUAUCUUUAUUGGAGUCAGGGAUAGGAGUGGAGGCUUGAUGAGGUUCUUUGAUAAAGCAACAAUGGAAUAUAGGAACAACAGUAUUGAUCAAAACCACCAACUCAGAGUUAUGGGAAACCACUAACAAAACCAACAUCCUGCUUUCAAAUAUCAACAAACUCCUUUUGGACCCUGCCAUUUUAAAUGCCAGUCACAAGCCCAGGUUAAGGAGGAGGCAAGAGAUGCCCCUAACAGAUGCUCAGGAAUGAUGUACCUCAUGUGCAAAGAACCACUAUAUUUAACCAUGUCCAAGAUAAUUAAUUUAGCGAAGUGGCAACAUCCUCAAUGAUACGGGUAAAGAUUUGGGACCUGCCAGCAAAGUGGUUUCUAAUUUUGUAGGUUAGGGGUUACUCCCUUUCUGAAAUCUUAGAUGUGCACAA